UACAGAGGAGCCAAGCGUUGUCCGGAUUGACUGGGCGUAAAGCGCACGCAGGCGGUCUGGCGCGUGGGGUGUGAAAUCUGGCCGCUUAACGGCCAGGCGCAUCCCAUACGGCCGGACUGGAGCCUUGCAGAGGUCGGUGGAAUUGCCGGUGUAGUGGUGAAAUGCGUAGAUAUCGCUUGGAACGCCGAAGGUGAAAACAGGUCGCUGGGGGAUGUGCCGACGCUGAGACACGGAAAGCCAGGGGAGGCAAACGGG
rnacentral:rRNA from 1 species